UCGGGAAUAUUGCGCAAUGGGCGAAAGCCUGACGCAGCCAUGCCGCGUGUGUGAAGAAGGCCCUAGGGUUGUAAAGCACUUUCAAUUGGGAGGAAAAGCUAAUACUUAAUACGUAUUAGCCCUGACGUUACCUUUAGAAGAAGCACCGGCUAACUCCGUGCCAGCAGCCGCGGUAAUACGGAGGGUGCAAGCGUUAAUCGGAAUUACUGGGCGUAAAGCGCGCGUAGGCGGUUUUUUAAGUCGGAUGUGAAAGCCCCGGGCUCAACCUGGGAACUGCAUCCGAUACUGGAUGACUAGAAUGCGGGAGAGGGAGGUAGAAUUCCAUGUGUAGCAGUGAAAUGCGUAGAUAUAUGGAGGAAUACCAGUGGCGAAGGCGGCCUCCUGGCUCGACAUUGACGCUGAGGUGCGAAAGCCAGGGGAGCGAAAGGG
rnacentral:rRNA from 1 species